UCCUACGGGAGGCAGCAGUGAGGAAUAUUGGUCAAUGGACGGAAGUCUGAACCAGCCAUGCCGCGUGCAGGAUGACUGCCCUAUGGGUUGUAAACUGCUUUUCUGAAGGAAGAUAAGUACCUACGUGUAGGUAUUUGCCGGUACUUCAGGAAUAAGGAUCGGCUAACUCCGUGCCAGCAGCCGCGGUAAUACGGAGGAUCCGAGCGUUAUCCGGAUUUAUUGGGUUUAAAGGGUGCGUAGGCGGUAUAAUAAGUCAGUGGUGAAAGUCUGUGACUCAACCAUAGAAGUGCCAUUGAAACUGUUAUACUUGAGUAUAGAUGAGGUAUGCGGAAUGUGUAAUGUAGCGGUGAAAUGCUUAGAUAUUACACAGAACACCGAUUGCGAAGGCAGCAUACUAAGCUAUAACUGACGCUGAUGCACGAAAGCGUGGGUAGCGAACAGGAUUAGAUACCCUGGUAGUCCACGCCGUAAACGAUGAUCACUCGUUGUUGGCGACAUAAAGUCAGUGACUGAGCGAAAGCAUUAAGUGAUCCACCUGGGGAGUACGUUGGCAACGAUGAAACUCAAAUGAAUUGACGG
rnacentral:rRNA from 1 species